GUGCCAGCCGCCGCGGUAAUACGAAGGGGGCAAGCGUUGCUCGGAAUCACUGGGCGUAAAGGGCGCGUAGGCGGGCGUCUAAGUCAGGGGUGAAAUCCCGAGGCUCAACCUCGGAAUUGCCUUUGAUACUGGAUGUCUCGAGACCGGAAGAGGUGAGUGGAACUGCGAGUGUAGAGGUGAAAUUCGUAGAUAUUCGCAAGAACACCAGUGGCGAAGGCGGCUCACUGGUCCGGUUCUGACGCUGAGGCGCGAAAGCGUGGGGAGCAAACAGGAUUAGAAACCCUGGUAGUCC
rnacentral:rRNA from 1 species